ACAUACACUUACAGAUCCAUCUUUUCCUCUUUCAUUUUCUCGCCAAAUUCAUCUCUAAGAGUUGAAAAAGAAGAAAGAAAAAUGGUGAAGAUUUGCUGCAUAGGAGCUGGAUAUGUUGGUGGCCCUACCAUGGCUGUCAUUGCACUCAAAUGCCCCACGAUUGAAGUGGUCGUUGUUGAUAUCUCUGUACCUCGCAUCACUGCCUGGAACAGUGACACGCUUCCCAUCUAUGAGCCAGGCCUUGACGAUGUGGUCAAGCAAUGCCGAGGCAAGAAUCUCUUCUUCAGCACAGAAGUGGAGAAACAUGUACAUGAGGCUGAUAUAGUUUUUGUUUCUGUCAACACUCCUACCAAGACUAGGGGUCUUGGAGCAGGCAAGGCUGCAGAUCUUACCUACUGGGAGAGUGCAGCCCGUAUGAUUGCCGAUGUCUCGAAAUCUGACAAAAUAGUUGUUGAGAAAUCAACUGUUCCAGUAAAAACUGCUGAGGCAAUUGAAAAGAUUUUGACCCACAACAGCAAGGGAAUCACCUUCCAGAUCCUCUCAAACCCUGAAUUUCUUGCAGAGGGUACUGCAAUCGAAGACCUCUUUAAACCUGACAGGGUUCUAAUUGGAGGCCGGGAAACUCCAGGAGGCCAGAAGGCUAUCCAAGCAUUGAAGGAUGUUUAUGCUCAUUGGGUUCCUGAAGGCAAUAUCAUUACCACCAACUUGUGGUCCGCUGAGCUCUCAAAGUUGGCGGCCAAUGCAUUCUUGGCACAAAGAAUCUCUUCUGUGAAUGCCAUGUCAGCUCUCUGUGAGGCUACAGGAGCAAAUGUUACACAGGUGGCAUAUGCUGUUGGUAAGGACUCGAGGAUUGGUCCCAAGUUCCUCAACGCUAGUGUUGGUUUUGGUGGAUCUUGCUUCCAGAAGGAUAUUCUGAACCUGGUUUACAUUUGCGAGUGCAAUGGUCUGCCUGAGGUUGCUGAAUACUGGAAACAAGUUAUCAAGAUUAAUGACUAUCAGAAAAGUCGUUUUGUCAAUCGCGUUGUUGCCUCUAUGUUCAACACAGUCUCAAACAAGAAAGUUGCAAUUCUAGGUUUUGCUUUCAAGAAGGAUACUGGCGAUACUCGAGAGACCCCUGCUAUUGAUGUAUGCAAGGGACUAAUGGGGGAUAAUGCUAAAUUGAGCAUAUACGAUCCUCAGGUGCAAGAGGACCAAAUCCAGAGGGACCUCUCGAUGAAGAAGUUUGACUGGGAUCAUCCCCUUCACCUCCAGCCAAUGAGUCCCACAUCCGUGAAACAACAAGUCAGUGUUUCUAUGGAUGCCUACGGUGCAACAAAGGAUGCCCAUGCUGUUUGUAUUCUCACAGAGUGGGAUGAGUUCAAGACCCUUGAUUUCCAGAAGAUAUAUGAUAACAUGCAAAAACCCGCUUUCGUUUUUGAUGGCAGGAAUGUUGUGAACGCUGACAAGCUAAGAGAGAUUGGCUUUAUCGUCUACUCAAUUGGUAAGCCUCUCGAUGCCUGGCUUAAGGACAUGCCUGCUGUCGCUUAAGAGCCUUACUUUGCUCGAGUGGCUUGUUUUGGUCUUAAAGAUAUUAGUUAUCAGGCAAUCAUCAGCUGGGAUUCUUUACUAUUUUUUUACCACUUCAAUUUCUGUUUCCAUUUUAUCCAUUGUAGUCAUAAGACCACCAUCGUCACUAUCUGAGUCGCAUGUAAGAUGUUUUCUGUUUCUUUUGUAUUGAUGAU